rnacentral:rRNA from 1 species
CGAACGCUGGCGGCGCGCCUAACACAUGCAAGUCGAACGGAACUAGUGACCGGAGGGUAGAUAGUUCUAUCUUGCGAUCACUAGUUCAGUGGCGGACGGGUGAGUAAAACAUGAGCAACCUGCCUAGUAGAGGGGGAUAGCUUUUGGAAACAGAAGAUAAUACCGCAUACAUCAGAGAUUUCGCAUGAAGUUUUUGGAAAAGGAGCAAUCCGCUAUUAGAUGGGCUCAUGUCCGAUUAGCUUGUUGGUGGGGUAAUGGCUCACCAAGGCUACGAUCGGUAGCCGUACUGAGAGGUUCAACGGCCACAUUGGGACUGAGACACGGCCCAGACUCC